rnacentral:rRNA from 1 species
UGCGCAGGUGGGCUUGUAAGUCAGUGGUGAAAUACUGCCGCUUAACGGUAGAACUGCCAUUGAUACUGCAAGUCUUGAGUAUGGUUGAGGUAGGCGGAAUGUGUUGUGUAGCGGUGAAAUGCAUAGAUAUGACACAGAACUCCAAUUGCGAAGGCAGCUUACUAAGCCAUUACUGACGCUGAGGCACGAAAGCGUGGGGAGCGAACAGGAUUAGAUACCCUGGUAGUC